rnacentral:rRNA from 1 species
UACGAGGGGGGCAAGCGUUGUUCGGAAUUAUUGGGCGUAAAGGGCGCGUAGGCGGAUGUCUAAGUCGGAGGUGAAAGCCCAGGGCUCAACCUUGGAAUUGCCUUUGAUACUGGACAUCUUGAGUACGGGAGAGGUGAGUGGAACUCCGAGUGUAGAGGUGAAAUUCGUAGAUAUUCGGAAGAACACCAGUGGCGAAGGCGACUCACUGGCCCGUUACUGACGCUGAGGCGCGAAAGCGUGGGGAGCAAACAGG